UAUUUGUACCAAUCAUUCAUACACCAAUUCCGUAUGAUUUCAUUCAUCAACCAAAUAAAUGUAGUAUAUAAUGUUUUGGAAGACACCAAAAAUUCCUACAUCUCCCACUUGUCUGAAAAACAUUCAAUCAAAAAUCCUAAGGCCCAUGUUCCUGACAUGUUUGCAAAACAAUUCCUGACUAAGAGGUUUAGUCAGUGGAUCUGCCAACAUAUCAUUACCAGGAAAAAAUGCAAGUCGAACAGUUUUCAGCCUAUUUAUUACAUCUCCAAUAUAAUGGUACUUUCCCUCAAUAUGUCUAGCCCUGCUAUGAAACUUGGAGUCCUUGGAAAGAUUAAUCACAGCUUGAUUAUCACAAUAAACAGUGACCGGAUUAGACGCAUUUUCAACUAUCUCGAGAGAAACCAGAAAGUUCCUCAACCAAACGCCAUCUUUUACAGCUUCAUUCGCAGCAAUGUACUCUGCUUCCAUAGAAGACUACGCCACAGAAGUUUGUUUCUUGCUCUUCCAAGAUAUAGCACCUCCAGCCAAAGUAAAUAGACAACCCGACGUCGACUUCCUUUCAUCAAAGUCUCCCUUCCAGUCAGCAUCAGUAUGUCCCAGCAGCUGAAGAUUAUCACCAUUAAAGCAAAGUGAAAAGUCCAUCGUUCCUUUUAUAUAUCACAUAGCAUAUUUUAUUUCCUUCCAAUGAGCUUCUUCAGGAUUUUUCUGAAAUCUGCUCAACAUUCCAACAGUGUGACACAAAUCUGGUCUAGUAAAUAACAUUGCAUACAUAAGAGACCCCAGAGCAGAAGCAUAAGGUAUAUUUUUCAUUUCCCUUAUUUCCUCAGGAGUUUUAGGACAUUGUUCCUCACUAAGUUUAGUUCCCUUUAUCAUUGGUACAUUUGCAGGUUUGCAAUCUUCCAUAGAAAAUCGUUUCAAAACAGUUUUGAGAUAAGCCUUUUGAGACAACCCCAAAACUUUCCUUUUCCGAUCCCUAUGUAUUUCCACCCCCAAAACAUAAGAGGCUUCCCCCAAAUCUUUCAUAUCAAAAGUGGACGAUAACCAAGAUUUCACUUCCAUUAAGGUUCCCUCAUUGUUUGAAGCAAUUAAAAUGGCAUCGACAUACAAAGAUAAUAAUGCAUCGUUUCCUCCCACUAUUUGGAAAUAAAUACAGUGGUCUCCUUCCAUCAUAGAGAAACCAUAUGAUGUGAUUGCAGCAUCAAAUAAGGUAUUCCAUUGCCUAGAAGCGUGCCUCAAACCAUAGAUUGAUCUUUUUAACUUACAUACUUUAUUCCGAUUUCCUUUUUCCACAAAACCAUCUGGUUGUGUCAUAUAGAUUUCCUCUUUUAAAUAACCAUUUAAAAAAGCAGAUUUGACAUCCAUUUGAUGGAGAUCAAGAUCAAAAUAAGCAGUUAAGGCACAUAAGAUGCGAAUAGAAGUGAACUUUGCAACAGGAGAAAAUGUUUCCACAAAGUCUACUCCUUCCUUUUGUGUAUAUCCCUUAGCAACUAAUCGAGCUUUAUAUUUUUCCACGCCUCCUGAAGCAUUGAGUUUCCUUUUGAAUAUCCAUUUAGAUCCUAUGGCCUGGCGGUUUUGGGGUAAAUCAAUAAGUUCCCAAACACCAUUUGUUUCCAUGGAGUUUAGUUCUUCCCGCAUAGCUUCCAACCAUAGUCCAGAUUCCUCACGAUCAAUUGCUUGUUUGUAAGUUUUAGGUUCUUCCUCUAAAGACACUUUAGAGUGUACUUCCCCUAGAAACACAAAAUAAUCAUCUAAAUAAGAUGGUGUCUGUGUGUUCCUCCCACUUCUUCUAGGCAUAGUAGUUGAGGGAGUUUCUUCCAUAUUUAUGUCAGGGAUUUGGCUUGAAAGAUUACCGGUAGAGUCAUUUACUACUUCCUCGGAUUCUUCUUCUAUCAAUUCCACUCUAGCCCUCUUAGCACGACGAGGAGUGUCCUGAUCUUAAAAACAUAGCAUCUCUACUUUCCAAUAACUUCUUAUAGUUGGGAUCAUAAAACCUAUAACCAUUGGAACCAGUAGAAUAUCCAACAAAGAUUCCUGGAGUGGUCUUAGGUUGCAGUUUGGUACGGUUCUGGCUCGGGAUUUUAAUUUGAGCAUUGCAACCCCAAACAGCCAAGUGCCUCAAUGUUGGUUUCCUACCUUUCCAAAGCUCGUAGGGAGUGACCUUUAUUGAUUUUGAGGGUGUGUGAUUUAACAAAUAUAUUGCAGUAUGUAGUGCUUCCCCCAAAAAACUUAAAGGUAAAUCAGAGUAAGCCAUCAUGGAUCGGACCAUAUCCAUCAACGUCCUAUUUCUUCUUUCAGCUACACCAUUUUGUUAUGGUGUGUAGGGCAAUGUAUAGUGGUGUACUAUGCCAUGUUCUUUACAGAAUUCAUCCAAAAUUCCGGAUGUGUACUCUCCUCCUCUAUUGGUCCUAAGGACUUUAAUUUUCCCAUUUAAUUGGUUUUCCACUUCAGCCUUGAAAGUUUUCAACAUGUCAAAACCCUCAGACUUGUGUUUAAGGAGGUAGACAUAACCGCAUCGGGAGAAGUCAUCAAUGAAUGUGAUAAAAUACACCUUCUGUCCUAUCGUGGGUGUUGUCAUUUCCCCACAAAUAUCUGAAUGAAUUAUGGCUAAGGCUCACUAGAUCUUUCGGCUUUAGGAAAGGGAGAUCUAGUCAUUUUUCCCAUGAUGCAGGCUUCACAAAUUCCAUAAUCUUCCCAUUUAAAAUUCAGAAUUCCAUAACUAAUCAAUCUUUUAAUCCUGUUCUUUGAUAUAUGUCCUAGCCUUAAAUGCCAUAGGUAGGAUUCGGAAUAAUUGUCAUUUCCGGCUAUAUUCCUCACAAUGGAGUGGUUUUCAGCAACUAAACUGUCCAUAGCAUCAAUAUCGGAAAUAUCUUCAAUAUAAUAGAGGCCUUCUACACGGUUCCCUGAUUGUAUUAAUUUUCCUUUUAGCAAUAUUUUAACCUUUCCAUUGCCAAAGUUAUCAUCAAAGCCUGCAGAUUCUAGUCUAGAUACUGAUAUGAGAUUUUUCCUCAUAUCUGGAGCAAAUACAGUAUUCUUAAGGAGAAAUAUUCCUCCACUUGGGAGUUUUAGAUUAUAGUCCCCAAUUCCUAGUAUAUCUGCCUUUGAUGUUGUUCCUAGAUAAAUAAAUCUAGUUCCCUUUUGUAUUGGUUUAAAUGAACAGAAAGAAUUCCUAUCUCUUGCAAUGUGUGAGGUGGAGCCAGAAUCAACCACCCAACUAUUUGACAAGGAAGUUGUAAAUAGAGAUUCUGAACAUACAAAAACAUGUGACAUAGCAUCAGGUGAAGAAUUUCCCCUUCUAUUAUCCUGAUGCUUGGACUGGUUGUCGUUAUACUUCUUAUCAUCUGGCUUCCUCUUCUUAGUGCACUCAGAUCUGAAGUGUCCUUGUUCACCACAAUUAUGGCAAUUAAAUUUCCUCUUGUCAACCUUCUGAUUUGAGAUUCUUCCAUUGUAAUCAUUCCUAUCACGCUUCUGAUUUAUUUUAUCCCUCAAAUCUGUCCCAUAUUUCCUCUUUUGCCAAUUCCUCUUGCUUGAAGACUUGUCCUCACCAAGGUGUAGUUGAUCAUGUUGAGACCUUCUUUCUUUCCCUUGUGUGGACUUCCUGUCUUCUUCCAUGAGUAGAGGAUGCCUAAGCGUUCUCAUGUUCAGCACCCGCUCAGUAUGACAAAAGGAUAUUUUGAAUUGUUCCCAAGAGUUUGGCAAAGAGUUAAGAGCAACCAUGACUUGAACUUCUUCAGGGAAAGGGUAACCUGCAUUCUUUAGUUCCUCUGCUAACACACAUAACUUAUUUAGAUGAGCACUAACAGUAGUUGUUUCUGUCAUCUUCGCGGUCAAAAAUUGAUUCACCAAGCUGAGAACUUUAAUAAGUGAAACUUCCCCAAAGUCCUUUUCCAAUCUCCUCAUUAUUUUACGAGCUGAUUCCUCUGGUUCAUACUCUCCAGCUAGAGAAUCAGACAUGGAUCCGAGCAUAAAUACUCUAGCCUUUUUGUUGUCCUUAGUCCACUGAGUAAUUUCCUCACGGUAGUUUUCCUUUUCCUCAUCUUCAGCCUCGUCAGAUGGUUGGGUAGGCUUAGAUUGAGUAAUGAUAUAAUCUAUAUUUUCAGCAGUGAGGAGAAACAUAAUCUUUCUCUUCCAGACAGUAAAAUUCGAACCAUCCAAUUUACAGGACCUUAGCAACUCAGCAAACACACUGUUGGAGGCCAUUGGGAAGGGUGAUUACCGUUAAGAAAUUUCAGAAAUUAAUCUAUAGCUGCAGCAACCACAAAUCAGGCCGUGACCUUCAGAUUCCGAGUAUCCAACGGCAGCUCGUGUGGCUUGGUGACUUCUCGAGGCAGAGGACUUGGAGCAGCAGCGACCCUAGCAGGUCGGUGGUCUCGGCUUGUUAAGGGCGAGACGGCGAGGCGGACUCACAAUGGAGACGGCGAGGCGGCGGCUGCGUCGAGGCGCGGCCGCGUCGGGGACGGUGAGGCAGCGGCCACGUCGGGGACAGCGAGGCGGCAAUGGAGAAGGCGAGGGGGCGGCCGCGUUGGGGACGGCGAGGCGGCAGUGGAGACGGCGAGGCGGCGGCCGCGUCGGGGAUGGCUAGAUCGGGUGAGGCGGCGGUUUUCCAGAUCGAGCGAGCUGCUCGUUUCCGUAUAUUUGGAGGAGUUCGUGCGGAAGCGGUUUCCAGGAAAUAAUUGCAAGAGGAUGACGUCCUUUUCCCUACCUCAUAAAAGAGAUUUUGUUACGGUCGUCAAAACUCUUUGCAACCUGCUCCGAUGCCAAUGUUGUGAAAAUAACAUAGCACGAGUAUAUUUGUCUAUCCUCUAAUUCCUCCGCCAAGUCCGUGGUGCAGCUCACAAUGCGUAUAUGAGGCUAGAAGGUAGGGACAUAUUUAUACUCAUAUUCCUGAAAAUUCAAAUCCGUAUCCGGAUAGAAUUCAAUUAGACUCCUAAUCAAAUUAACCAACCACGAUCAUAACCGAUUAUUUUCAGAGUCAAAUUCCUUCUUAUCCCUAAGCACAUAUAUGUGAGAUAUAUGGCUCGUUUAAAUAGUAUAUGAUUCCUAUUUAAACGUGUAGACUUAUCAAUCUACAGAGCUGAACCUGUAAAUAGCCUAGCCAAUUCCAAACAUAUAUUGUGCCCAGGCAAAAUAAUUCCAGCGUACAUAUACACACCGUAUUCCAGUAUAGUUUGUACCCAGCUCCUUGAGUAAAUUUCCUCAAGUUCAAUUGCAUAUAUUUGUACCAAUCAUUCAUACACCAAUUCCGUAUGAUUUCAUUCAUCAACCAAAUAAAUGUAGUAUAUAAUGUUUUGGAAGACACCAAAAAUUCCUACAUCUCCCACUUGUCUGAAAAACAUUCAAUCAAAAAUCCUAAGGCCCAUGUUCCUGACAUGUUUGCAAAACAAUUCCUGACUAAGAGGUUUAGUCAGUGGAUCUGCCAACAUAUCAUUACCAGGCAAAAAUGCAAGCCGAACAGUUUUCAGCCUAUUUAUUACAUCUCUAAUAUAAUGGUACUUUCCCUCAAUAUGUCUAGCCCUGCUAUCAAACUUGGAAUCCUUGGAAAGUUUAAUCGCAGCUUGAUUAUCACAAUAAACAGUGACCGGAU
rnacentral:lncRNA from 1 species